rnacentral:miRNA from 1 species
UCCAGCAUUAGUGAUUUUGUUGC